rfam:Rattus norvegicus chromosome 15, whole genome shotgun sequence.
GGGGAUUUAGCUCAGUGGUAGAGCACUUGCCUAGCAAGCUCAAGGUCCUGGGUUCGGUCCCCAGCUCCG